ensembl:misc_RNA Metazoa_SRP Metazoan signal recognition particle RNA
GCCGGGCGUGGUGGCGCAUGCCUGUAAUCCCAGCUACUCAGGAGGCUGAGGCAGGAGAAUCGCUUGAACCUGGGAGGCAGAGGUUGCAGUGAGCAGAGAUCGUGGCACUGCACUCCAGCCUGGGUAACAGAGCGAGAUUCCAUCUCAA